CCUGCAUGGCCAUCCAGACAAGGGAAGGAGAAGUGACUUCAAUGCAAAAACUCUGUCCUAAAGGUUCAUGUACCCACCAGAACAAUUUCCACAUGCUCAAAGCCAGCAUGAAGAAAGCUGGAAAGCGUCUUGGACUUGAAGACUGAUAAGAAUUGAGCAAACUGUCUCUCGUUUUCCUCUCCUUUUUGCAAUAGUAAAGAGCGUGGUUCAGAGAAAUGUGCGGAAACUAUUUUUAGUGGACAAUUGUGUUACCCCACAGUAAUGAGAUGAGACAACUAAA
rnacentral:lncRNA from 1 species